GUAGGUGGCAAGCGUUGUCCGGAAUUAUUGGGCGUAAAGCGCGCGCAGGCGGGUUCUUUAAGUCUGAUGUGAAAGCCCACGGGCUCAACCGUGGAGGGUCAUUGGAAACCGGGGAACUUGAGUACAGAAGAGGAAAGCGGAAUUCCACGUGUAGCGGUGAAAUGCGUAGAGAUGUGGAGGAACACCAGUGGCGAAGGCGGCUUUCUGGUCUGUAACUGACGCUGAGGCGCGAAAGCGUGGGGAGCAAACAGGAUUAGAUACCCUGGUAGUCCACGCCGUAAACGAUGAGUGCUAAGUGUUAGGGGGUUUCCGCCCCUUAGUGCUGCAGCUAACGCAUUAAGCACUCCGCCUGGGGAGUACGGCCGCAAAGGCUG
rnacentral:rRNA from 1 species